AAGAAUCAUGGAAUCAUAGAAUCACAGAAGGGUUUGGGUUGGAAGGGGCCUCAAAGUCCACCCAGCCCUAACCUCUGCUGUGGGCAGGGCUGCCCCUACCAGCUCAGGCUGUCCAGGGCCCCAUCCACCCCUUCUCUCAUGGUUGGGGAGCCCCUUUAACCUUGAGUAUUCCAGUAUCAUCCUGUACUUCAUUAGACCAAAGCAUUCCUCCUACUGAGACCAGCAGCUGAGACGCUCUGCAUCUCAGAACAUCAUCACACUUCUUGCUGAGGCCAGGGCGUCCUUUUGGAGCUGGUCGGCCGUUCCCUUGGAAGAGGAAGAGGACCAGAAGUAAGUGUGGGAUAAUAGCCCACAGGCACACAGCCCUCCCCUCCAAGGCUCAAGUUAUUGCGCCUCUGCAUGUGAGUUUGUUUUUUGAUUUUCCACGGUCCAGCCCUGUAUUUAGCAGAGAAAGACACUGCAGAAGUUCUGACACCGAUAACAGCCCUAAAUACACAUGUGCACAAAGCCCAGGGCACGUCUGUUUUGUCUCCGCACACAAAUUAUGAUCCGCGUAUUGUGCUCACACCGUUUUUUUGUUUGGUUGGUGGUGAAGCUGUGAUUUCUUCUUAGGUCGUAGCAUGCCAUUAAAUCAAUC
rnacentral:lncRNA from 1 species